AGGCGAUGAAGGGCGUGCUAAUCUGCGAUAAGCGCCGGUAAGGUGAUAUGAACCGUUAUAACCGGCGAUACCCGAAUGGGGAAACCCAGUGUGAUUCGUCACACUAUCAUUAACUGAAUCCAUAGGUUAAUGAGGCGAACCGGGGGAACUGAAACAUCUAAGUACCCCGAGGAAAAGAAAUCAACCGAGAUUCCCCCAGUAGCGGCGAGCGAACGGGGAGGAGCCCAGAGCCUGAAUCAGCAUGUGUGUUAGUGGAAGCGUCUGGAAAGGCGCGCGAUACAGGGUGACAGCCCCGUACACAAAAGCGCAUGUGCUGUGAGCUCGAUGAGUAGGGCGGGACACGUGGUAUCCUGUCUGAAUAUGGGGGGACCAUCCUCCAAGGCUAAAUACUCCUGACUGACCGAUAGUGAACCAGUACCGUGAGGGAAAGGCGAAAAGAACCCCGGCGAGGGGAGUGAAAAAGAACCUGAAACCGUGUACGUACAAGCAGUGGGAGCCCCACCACUAAGCCAGUGGUGAACUCCACAUACGCAUCCUUUGCUGAGGAUACGGUUAACGGAGCGCAAGCGACGUUCAACCUCAAAAGAAGCAGAGGGGGCUUAGUGGUGGGGUGACUGCGUACCUUUUGUAUAAUGGGUCAGCGACUUAUAUUCUGUAGCAAGGUUAACCGUAUAGGGGAGCCGGAGGGAAACCGAGUCUUAACCGGGCGUUAAGUUGCAGGGUAUAGACCCGAAACCCGGUGAUCUAGCCAUGGGCAGGUUGAAGGUUGGGUAACACUAACUGGAGGACCGAACCGACUAAUGUUGAAAAAUUAGCGGAUGACCUGUGGCUGGGGGUGAAAGGCCAAUCAAACCGGGAGAUAGCUGGUUCUCCCCGAAAGCUAUUUAGGUAGCGCCUCGUGAAUUCAUCUCCGGGGGUAGAGCACUGUUUCGGCUAGGGGGCCAUCCCGGCUUACCAACCCGAUGCAAACUGCGAAUACCGGAGAAUGUUAUCACGGGAGACACACGGCGGGUGCUAACGUCCGUCGUGAAGAGGGAAACAACCCAGACCGCCAGCUAAGGUCCCAAAGUCAUGGUUAAGUGGGAAACGAUGUGGGAAGGCCCAGACAGCCAGGAUGUUGGCUUAGAAGCAGCCAUCAUUUAAAGAAAGCGUAAUAGCUCACUGGUCGAGUCGGCCUGCGCGGAAGAUGUAACGGGGCUAAACCAUGCACCGAAGCUGCGGCAGCGAACGUAUCACUUAAAGCGAUUCAGCGGGUUACGAUUGACGGAGCGAAGCGACGUCAAAGCGUAUACAAAGUCGAGUCGGUUUAAGGAUACGUUCGUUGGGUAGGGGAGCGUUCUGUAAGCCUGCGAAGGUGGCCUGUGAGGGUUGCUGGAGGUAUCAGAAGUGCGAAUGCUGACAUAAGUAACGAUAAAGCGGGUGAAAAGCCCGCUCGCCGGAAGACCAAGGGUUCCUGUCCAACGUUAAUCGGGGCAGGGUGAGUCGACCCCUAAGGCGAGGCCGAAAGGCGUAGUCGAUGGGAAACGGGUUAAUAUUCCCGUACUUGGUGUUACUGCGAAGGGGGGACGGAGAAGGCUAUGUUGGCCGGGCGACGGUUGUCCCGGUUUAAGCGUGUAGGUGUGUGUUCCAGGUAAAUCCGGUUCACUUUAACACUGAGGCGUGACGACGAGGCACUACGGUGCUGAAGCAACAAAUGCCCUGCUUCCAGGAAAAGCCUCUAAGCAUCAGGUAACAUCAAAUCGUACCCCAAACCGACACAGGUGGUCAGGUAGAGAAUACCAAGGCGCUUGAGAGAACUCGGGUGAAGGAACUAGGCAAAAUGGUGCCGUAACUUCGGGAGAAGGCACGCUGACA
rnacentral:rRNA from 1 species